AUACCUACCUGGCAGGAGAGAUGCCAUGAUUCCUGAGAUUAUUUUCCCAGGGCAAGCCUUAUCCAUUGCAGGUCAGAUGUACUGACCCCUGAGAUUCCUUCAAAUCUGGAAAAUUCUACUGCACAAUCUGUGGUAGUACGGGAACUGUGUUCACGCUCUCCUCUA
ensembl:snRNA U1 U1 spliceosomal RNA